GAAACGACUGCUAAGACUGGAUAGGAGACAAGAAGGCAUCUUCUUGUUUUUAAAAGACCUAGCAAUAGGUAUGCUUAGGGAGGAGCUUGCGUCACAUUAGUUAGUUGGUGGGGUAAAGGCCUACCAAGACUAUGAUGUGUAGCCGGGCUGAGAGGUUGAACGGCCACAUUGGGACUGAGACACGGCCCAAACUCCUACGGGAGGCAGCAGUAGGGAAUUUUCGGCAAUGGAGGAAACUCUGACCGAGCAACGCCGCGUGAACGAUGAAGUAUUUCGGUACGUAAAGUUCUUUUAUUAGGGAAGAAUAAAUGAUGGAAAAAUCAUUCUGACGGUACCUAAUGAAUAAGCCCCGGCUAACUAUGUGCCAGCAGCCGCGGUAAUACAUAGGGGGCAAGCGUUAUCCGGAAUUAUUGGGCGUAAAGGGUGCGUAUGCGGUUAAAUAAGUUUAUGGUCUAAGUGCAAUGCUCAACAUUGUGAUGCUAUAAAAACUGUUUAGCUAGAGUAAGAUAGAGGCAAGUGGAAUUCCAUGUGUAGUGGUAAAAUGCGUAAAUAUAUGGAGGAACACCACUAGCGAAGGCGGCUUGCUGGGUCUUUACUGACGCUGAGGCACGAAAGCGUGGGGAGCAAACAGGAUUAGAUACCCUGGUAGUCCACGCCGUAAACGAUGAGUACUAAACGUUGGGUAAAACCAGUGUUGAAGUUAACACAUUAAGUACUCCGCCUGAGUAGUACGUACGCAAGUAUGAAACUUAAAGGAAUUGACGGGACUCCGCACAAGCGGUGGAUCAUGUUGUUUAAUUCGAAGGUACCCGAAAAACCUCACCAGGUCUUGACAUGCUUCUGCAAAGCUGUAGAAACACAGUGGAGGUUAUCAGUUGCACAGGUGGUGCAUGGUUGUCGUCAGCUCGUGUCGUGAGAUGUUGGGUUAAGUCCCGCAACGAGCGCAACCCUUAUUGUUAGUUACCAGCACGUAAUGGUGGGGACUUUAGCAAGACUGCCAGUGAUAAAUUGGAGGAAGGUGGGGAUGACGUCAAAUCAUCAUGCCCCUUAUGACCUGGGCUACAAACGUGAUACAAUGGCUGUUACAAAGGGUAGCUGAAGCGCAAGUUUUUGGCGAAUCUCAAAAAAACAGUCUCAGUUCGGAUUGAAGUCUGCAACUCGACUUCAUGAAGUUGGAAUCGCUAGUAAUCGCGAAUCAGCAUGUCGCGGUGAAUACGUUCUCGGGGUUUGUACACACCGCCCGUCA
rnacentral:rRNA from 1 species